AGUGAACGCUGGCGGUAGGCCUAACACAUGCAAGUCUAACGGCAACCCAGUAAUAGCUUGCCCUUACGGGUGGCGCGUGUCGGUCGGGCGUGGAAUACAUCGGAAUCUACUUUUUCUUGGGGGCUAAAGUAGGUAAACAUACGCUAAUACCGCAUACGCCCUCCGGGUGAAAGCAGGGGAUCUUCGUACUUUGCGCGAUUGAAUGAGCCGAUGUCGGAUUAGCUAGUUGGCGGGGUAAAGGCCCACCAAGGAGACGAUCCGUAGCUGGUCUGAGAAGAUGAGCAGCCACACUUGAACGGAGACACGGUCCAGAGGGCAACGGGAGGCAGCAGUGGGGAAUAUUGGAGGAAGGGGGCAAGCCUGAUCCAGCCAUAGCGCGUGGGUGAACAAGGAAUUCGGGUUGUACAACGCUUGUGUUGGGAAUGAAAAGCAGUAGGUUAAUACAACGAUGUUCUGACGGUACCCGAAGAAUAAGCAACGGCUAAAUUCGUG
rnacentral:rRNA from 1 species